UUCCGACCGGAACCGGCUCCGAGGACAGCAAAAUGCAGGACUGGGUGCAGAGGCUUGUCUUGGGGAGUGAUGGGAGUCUGAAAAUAUCUCACCACAGAUCCAAACCCACCCAACUACCUGGAAUUUGGAAAAAGGAAGACUAGCUUGGAUACUGGCAGAAAAGGAUGGUAGACUGGGUACUGGGAGUCUCAGCCUCAGAAGCUGGGCUACAUGGUGAUGGAGGACUCCCUGCAGCCAUCCAACUGCUGCUUCCCUCUGGGACAGUCUUUUCUGCUCUGUGGUCUACAGUUCUGACCUCAGGAGGAAGAUGAACCUGCAGAAGGGGAGAAGAUGGGCUGGGAGGAAACUCUACCUAUGAGUCAGGCACAGCCUCAGGCCGCCACAUCCAGGCUACUCUGCCUUGAACUCUACAAGGGUUGGGGAAGGACCAAUGACCAGAGCUCAGUCCUGUGGCAUCCAUUCAACUACAAGGAGGCUUGGAAGUGGAGUUCAAAUUUAGUAGGUCACAUGCCCAGAAGAGAUCCACAGAUA